GACGAACGCUGGCGGCGUGCUUAACACAUGCAAGUCGUACGGUAAGGCCCUUUCGGGGGUACACGAGUGGCGAACGGGUGAGUAACACGUGAGUAACCUGCCCACAACUUUGGGAUAACGCUAGGAAACUGGUGCUAAUACUGGAUAUGUGCUCCUGCUGCAUGGUGGGGGUUGGAAAGCUCCGGCGGUUGUGGAUGGACUCGCGGCCUAUCAGCUUGUUGGUGGGGUAGUGGCCUACCAAGGCGGCGACGGGUAGCCGGCCUGAGAGGGUGACCGGCCACAGUGGGACUGAGAUACGGCCCAGACUCCUACGGGAGGCAGCAGUGGGGAAGAUUGCACAAUGGGCGCAAGCCUGAUGCAGCAACGCCGCGUGCGGGAGGACGGCCUUCGGGUUGUAAACCGCGUUCAGCAGGGACGAAGCUUUUUGUGACGGUACCUGCAGAAGAAGCACCGGCUAACUACGUG
rnacentral:rRNA from 1 species